CUUUUGAUAGGAAAUCAUAGCACGUGGUAAAGGUACUCCAUUCUUUACUGCAUUUUAUCUUUCAAAUCGUAUCCUUUUGCAGGUUGGCAUGAGUACAUUCAUCAUAAAUUUCCAGCCACAUCUAGUUUGGACUUUGGAACAGUUACGACCUCGUUAUAUAACAUUUCAUUGGGCUAGACUUUAUACUUACUGAUAUAUUUAUUGCAACACUACUAAC
rnacentral:lncRNA from 1 species